UACAGAGGUCUCAAGCGUUGUUCGGAUUCAUUGGGCGUAAAGGGUGCGUAGGUGGUGAGUUAAGUCUGUCGUGAAAGCCCCGGGCUCAACCUGGGAAUGGCGAUGGAUACUGGCUCGCUAGAGUGCGGUAGAGGAGAGUGGAAUUCCCGGUGUAGCAGUGAAAUGCGUAGAUAUGCGGAGGAACACCGAUGGCGAAGGCAAUCCCCUGGGCCUGCACUGACGCUCAUGCACGAAAGCGUGGGGAGCAAACAGG
rnacentral:rRNA from 1 species